rnacentral:rRNA from 1 species
CUACGGGUGGCUGCAGUGGGGAAUAUUGGACAAUGGGCGAAAGCCUGAUCCAGCAAUGCCGCGUGAGUGAUGAAGGCCUUAGGGUUGUAAAGCUCUUUUACCCGGGAUGAUAAUGACAGUACCGGGAGAAUAAGCUCCGGCUAACUCCGUGCCAGCAGCCGCGGUAAUACGGAGGGAGCUAGCGUUGUUCGGAAUUACUGGGCGUAAAGCGCGCGUAGGCGGCUUGCCAAGUCAGAGGUGAAAUCCCGGGGCUCAACCCCGGAACUGCCUUUGAAACUAGCAAGCUAGAAUCUUGGAGAGGUCAGUGGAAUUCCGAGUGUAGAGGUGAAAUUCGUAGAUAUUCGGAAGAACACCAGUGGCGAAGGCGACUGACUGGACAAGUAUUGACGCUGAGGUGCGAAAGCGUGGGGAGCAAACAGGAUUAGAUACCCGUGUAGUC